rnacentral:rRNA from 1 species
GUGGCCAAGUGAUAGUGGCACACGGUGGAUGCCUUGGCAUCAGGCGCCGAUGAAGGACGUGGGAGGCCGCGAUAGGCCACGGGGAGCUGUCAACCGAGCUUUGAUCCGUGGGUGUCCGAAUGGGGAAACCUAGCCCGAGUUGUGUCGGGUUGCCGCACCUGAAUGUAUAGGGUGGUUGGUGGUGACGCGGGGAAGUGAAACAUCUCAGUACCCGUAGGAAGAGUAAACAAAAGUGAUUCCCCUAGUAGUGGUGAGCGAACGGGGAAGAGGCUAAACCGUAUGCGUGUGAUAGACGGCAGUCGUUGCGUGUGCGGGGUUGUGGGGCGCAUCUUUUCGGGUCUGUCGGCCCGGAGCGCUGAUGCUGGUGAUAGUUGAAUCCGUUGGGAAGCGGAACCGUAGUGGGUGAGAGUCCCGUAGACGAAGUUGCCGGCUAGGUGUUGGUGUGUUCCCGAGUAGCGCGGAGCCCGUGAAAUUCCGUGUGAAUCUGGCAGGACCACCUGCUAAGCCAAAAUACGUCCUGAUGACCGAUAGUGCACUAGUACCGUGAGGGAAAGGUGAAAAGUGCCCCGGUGAGGGGUCGUGAAAUAGUACCUGAAACCGUGUGCUGUCAAGCCGUCAGAGCUGAAGCUUGUCUUUGGUGAUGGCGUGCCUUUUGAAGAAUGAGCCUGCGAGUCAUGGUGUGUGGCGAGGUUAACCCGUGUGGGGUAGCCGUAGGGAAACCGAGUCUGAAUAGGGCGUUUGAGUCGCAUGCUGUGGACCCGAAGCGGAGUGAUCUACCCAUGUCCAGGGUGAAGCGGGGUAAGACCUCGUGGAGGCCCGAACCCACCAGGGUUGAAAACCUGGGGGAUGAGGUGUGGGUAGGGGUGAAAGGCCAAUCAAACUCCGUGAUAGCUGGUUCUCCCCGAAAUGCAUUUAGGUGCAGCGUCACGUGUUUCUUGCUGGAGGUAGAGCUACUGUUUGGCUGAUGGGCCCUACAAGGUUACUGACGUCAGACAAACUCCGAAUGCCGGUUAAGUUAGAGCGUGGCAGUGAGACUGCGGGGGAUAAGCUUCGUAGUCGAGAGGGAAACAGCCCAGAUCAUCAGCUAAGGCCCCUAAGCGUGUGCUAAGUGGGAAAGGUUGUGGAGUUGCCCAGACAACCAGGAGGUUGGCUUAGAAGCAGCCAUCCUUUAAAGAGUGCGUAAUAGCUCACUGGUCAAGUGGUUCUGCGCCGAUAAUGUAGCGGGGCUUAAGUACACCGCCGAAGCUGUGAAGCUCAAGACUUGUUCUUGGGUUGGUAGGGGAGCGUCGUGCAUCCGGAGAAGCUGCCGAGUGAUCGUGUGGUGGAGGUGUGCGAGUGAGAAUGCAGGCAUGAGUAGCGAAAGCAACGUGAGAAACGUUGCCGCCGAUUGACUAAGGGUUCCUGGGGCAGGUUAAUCCGCCCAGGGUGAGUCUGGACCUAAGGCGAGGCCGACAGGCGUAGUCGAUGGAUAACGGGUUGAUAUUCCCGUACCCGUGCACGAGCGCCCAGUACCGAGGCGACGGAUGCUAACCACGCCGGCUCCUUCUGAGACUUCGGGUCGAGGUUGUGGCUGGUCUGGGAACCGAUGUUGUAGUAGGUAAGUGAUGGGGUGACGCAGGAGGGUAGCUCUACCCGGCCGGUGGUUGUCCGGGGGUAAGCGUGUAGGCCGGUGUGUUGGCAAAUCCGCACACCGUGAGGCUGAGACGUGAUGCCGAGCCGUUUUCGGUGAAGUGAGUGAUCCCAUGCUGUCGAGAAAAGCCUCUAGCGAGUUCGUGUGUGGCCAGUACCCUAAACCGACGCAGGUGGUCAGGUAGAGAAUACCGAGGCGUUCGGGUGAACCAUGGUUAAGGAACUCGGCAAAUUGUCCCCGUAACUUUGGGAGAAGGGGAGCCCUGUCUGGUGAUGGUCUUUACGGGCCUGAGCUGGGUGGGGUCGCAGAUAGCGGGGGAAGCGACUGUUUAUUAAAAACACAGGUCCGUGCGAAGUCGUAAGACGCUGUUAUACGGACUGACGCCUGCCCGGUGCUGGAACGUUAAGAGGACUGGUUAGUGGUUUCGGCCUGCGAAGCUGGGAAUCUAAGCGCCAGUAAACGGCGGUGGUAACUAUAACCAUCCUAAGGUAGCGAAAUUCCUUGUCGGGUAAGUUCCGACCUGCACGAAUGGCGUAACGGACUUCCCCACUGUCUCAACAUUGGGCCCGCGUGAAAUUGGCACUACGAUAAAAUUGCUCGUUUCGCGCAGCAGGACGGAAAGACCCCGGGACCUUCACUAUAGCUUGACAUUGGUGUUUGGGAUGGUUUGUGUAGGAUAGGUGGGAGCCUGUGAAGUCGUCACGCUAGUGGCGGUGGAGGCGUUGGUGAAAUACCACUCUGACUGUUUCGGGCAUCUAACUUUGGACCGUGAUCCGGUUCGGGGACAGUGUCUGGUGGGUAGUUUAACUGGGGCGGUUGCCUCCCAAAGAGUAACGGAGGCGCC